AGCCGAAACGAGCUCGCUGGCGAGAUUCCGAAGGAGAUUACAGGCAUGCGGAUACUGAAUUACCUCAACCUCUCGAGAAACCAUCUGGUGGGUAGCAUCCCUUCGUCCAUAUCCACAAUGCAGAGCUUGACAUCUGUGGACUUUUCCUAUAACAAUCUUUCGGGUUUGGUUCCGGGUACUGGUCAGUUCAGUUACUUCAAUUACACUUCCUUUCUGGGCAAUCCUGAUCUCUGCGGUCCCUAUUUGGUUCCGUGCAAAGAUGGGGUUGCCAAUGGCACCCACCAACCACAUGUCAAAGGGUCCCUUACUGCUUCUCUGAAGCUAUUGCUUGUUAUUGGUUUGCUUUUGUGCUCCAUCAUAUUCGCUGUUGCUGCAAUCAUCAAAGCCCGGUCUUUGAAGAAAGCGAGCGAGUCCCG
rnacentral:lncRNA from 1 species